rnacentral:snoRNA from 1 species
CUGGGGUGCUAAAGUCCUCCAAGAGAAUCUGCUGGGUUUGAUUCACUGGCAGGGGCAAUCAGUGCCCAUUAGUGCCCAGAUCAAUAACAUUC